rnacentral:lncRNA from 1 species
CAUGUAUUUAAUCAUAGCGAAUCAAGCAUACAUCUAAACACCUAAGGAUUAUCAAACAUAUGCAUACUUCACAGUGACAUGAUUGUUUACAAAAUUUAGCAAGUAGGUGAUAGGAGGGCGUACCUGGAUAGCAUAGAUAACUUACAAUGCGCUUCCAUAAGACAUGAGGGAUUAGAUAAUAAUAAAAUAAAGAAACCCUAGCAUGCUUGUUAUCUAAUUAGCAUAACAAAAAUUAUCAAAGUAUAUGAAAACAUUAAUUAUCACACACAUCUUAUAUACAAUUCCUAAAAAAGAUAGACAUAAUUUCAACAAGUGACAAAAAUGGC